UCUUGUGGGUUUGGUGCUGCGCGCGUUUGUGGGAGUUCUUGGAGUUCUGAGUUGUCGAUCGGAGAUAAGGCCCUUCUCCUUCUCUGCUUCUCACGAACACACCCACAUUCACUUCAAGUUAAUUUCCACUCCCAUGAAAUUUCUGUGAAAUGAAUUUCAUUUGUGCAGUCCGUGGAUUUUGGGAAUUUUUCCUACGUUUUGUGUAAUUUUGGGUUGCUGCUGAGAAUCUCUCACAGCAGCAAGCUUCCACUCAUUUCUCCUUUGCUCACACAACACUCACUUAAAUUUUUCACUCACAAAUUCACUCAUCACAGAUCGUAACUGCUCUCUAUUUUUAGUGCAUUUCUCUAUUUUUUUAACAACAAGGUUCAUGCCUUCAGAUGCUUUACAUGUGUUUAAGAUCUAUUUUAUAUUUCAAAUUAUUAAAACUUAUAAAGAAAAUAAAAAAGAAAGAGAAGUGGUCUUCAGCUUGUGUUUUGUGCAUUCUACUAGCCUUUGUGACUGCACGCACUACAAACUUCAUCAGUUAUGUGGUUCUGUUUUAGUGCAGUGGCAUUUUAGUAGUGAAUUCAGUUGUGGUUCUUUUCUUGUGCAUCUGAAUUGUGAGUCUUUUUAGUGCAUCUGCGUUGUUUGUUUGUUUUGUGUAUAUGAGUUGUGGUUCUGGAUUGGUGAAAUUGAGUUUCUUUAGGGUUCAAAAGUUGGUGGGGUGGUUGGUUUAAAAUUUGGGUCCUACUGCUACAUCUUUUUUCACAUAUUUUUACCAGCUUUAAUUUCCAUUUUGUGAUCCACCAACAUGCAAUUUACUUUUUUUUUUUAAAAAAAUCCAGAAGUUUUCUCUAAGUAUUGAUAGAUUAAACUACUUAUAUAUAUAUAAAGCAUUCAUAGACUAUCUGCUAUGAGAUCUCAACACAAUAAGUUGUUCUGCUUUGUAUUUUUUAAAAAUACAUUUUGCGGAUUAUAAGUUAUAUCUAGUCAAUCUUUUAGAAUAGAUCACUUAUGUGUUAGUUUUUUGAAAUCAGCAUUGCCUUCAAAUAGAGGUGAGGACCUACAGACAAAGUGCUUGCUGGAGCUUUAUGGUCUAAAGAAGAUUGGCACUUAUUAUUGUUGUGGCUGUGAUGCUCUUUUUGGCAUGUCUUGGAUUUUUAUUUUCCAAAUGAUUGGGAUGCAACCUCUGGUAUACUUAUAUCAUCAAUGGUUUUGUCUUGUUCUUCGUAACCUUGUACCCUUGUGGUACCCCUCAAAACGUGGUGUCUUUUUAAAUAGUGGAUGGCAAAGCAUAACCAAUGGAAGCAGAUAAGUCAUUUCUUCAUUACUCAAUUAGCAUUUAUUCUGUUACUUAGUCAUGUAGAAAUUGUUAGCAAUCAUUUUUGGAUGUUUUAUAAAUAUAAUUCAUUAAGAAAUCAAGAAGUUGCUGCUGUUUGUUACAGUUUUUGUUGUUGUUUGUUUCAAUUUUCUAUGCAGUCUGUUUUGGUUUUCUCUUGAGAUUAACUUACCAACUGCUUCAGUCGCUUGACCUAUAGCUUGAUGUGACAUUUUUUUUUAUCAUAAUUACAACCAGUUUUCUGCUGAAAAUAUAAGUAGUGCAGACAUUUGUGCACAUCGGAUGUGAUCUUGGUUGAUGCUAAGUUGCUCUAGAUAUUUACUCAUUCCCUUAUUGGCCAUGGAUGUCCACCAACCCCUCUCUGUUCUUCUCUGUUUUCCUGCCAGGGUGCAAAAAAUAAAUAAAUACAGGCACUGUUUUAUAGAGAUUGCUUUGUAAUACUAUUCAUCAUACAAUUUCAUUAUCUGUAUUUUUUGUGUCUCGUCUUUCUAUCUUUUCUCCUAUUAAUUAUAAUGUUGGUGUCGACAUCUUAAUGAAGUUCAUUGCACAGAGGAAACGUUGUACUUCCUAUUUAACUCUCAGUAAAUGGAUAAUCUUAAACAUUUUUCCUUGUUUAUUCUGUUUGUUUUUAUUUUCCUAAAUAAUUAUAUUGUUUCUCCACAUUUCAUGCCAUAGAGAUUCCGUGAGUUCCAAGCACCUCCAGAACAUAACUUGGGAGUUUUGCUGGCAUCUACAGGUUUUUUAGACAUUCUUUAAGCUCCUUGCCCAUUCUUCAGCAACCCAUUGGUUCAAUCCCUUUGUGGGUUCCAAAAACUGGGGAGUAGAAGCCAUUUGCAAUGUUUAGGUCAAAUGUGUCUCUUAGUGCUGCUUUAACUUUAUUAGUUCAAGCUGGAAUUAAUUCGAUUUAUAUUUAGUGGAGAUAAUGGCUCAUUGCUGGAUAUGUAUUCACGAAGUGAUAUCUCUGCUUCGGCAAAAGAUAAAGCAUAUGCACAGAUUCGCCUUGGUGAAAUGCGUAUUCACCAGGUAAUUUCUCAAUCUAAUGUAUUUAUCUGACUCCAUCGGGCAUGCUAGCUGUAUGGUAGAUAGCAAUCUAUUUAAAUGGAAUAUAGUUUAGCACUUGUUUUCUCACAGAAAGUGGCAAUGGUUAUUAAUCUAGAUGCUUUGUAAUCUUGGUUUCAAUUUAUUGCUUACAGAAUGUCUUUGGUA